rnacentral:lncRNA from 1 species
UUGGCAAGGCACUGCCAGCCUCGGCAGACACCAACUCAUAAAAUUGCUGACUCUUGCACAAUCUGCCAUAUAAAAGCCCCUCUAUAAGAUAUUUCGUGUUGUCUACUGAUUUUGGUAAGGCAAUGACACAUGAUUUUCCUUUCUCAAGUCUUGACGUAGAUAACCCUAUGCUUACAUCUUGCCUAUUUUUCCUCCCUAGGUACUUAGACCUUUUUAGGGGCUGCUAACACACAUAUUCAUAGUGUAGUCAGCCCUUUUUCAGUUUUCCUGUUUCAGUUGAGGGUUGUCUCUGCAGCCAUCUGGUUUAAGUAGUAGCCAUAUUUACCAUACAUCUGAUGAGUUGUUGGUUUUGGACGCGCUGAGUUCAACCUCUUUUUCAUCUUCGUCCCAAUUGGUAGUGCGGUAAAAAGCUGCAUAAAGGAUGAGCUGCACCAAACCAGAUACUGUUCCCAGACCAUUGGGUAUCUAUUUUAUAAUUAAGAAGAAAAAUACAUGUUAGUUAGUGACUUUAAUUAGUAGUACAUAAUUAAAUAUGUAAGAUGAACAUUAAGUGGUAAUACAUAGUUGAUGAGUAUAAUUACCAAGAUAUAGGGAUCGAAUUUGAGGAGUGCAUAGCAUGACCAAACAAUGCCAUUAGCAAAGUUUGCAAUUGACAAGAAAAUUGGCAUGUAUUUGACACUCUUGGUAGUGAUAACUUUCUUCUGCUCAAAGACAAAAUUGACAACAACCAUAUAUAUGCAUGGUGUUAGUCUCUGGUUACACAUUCAAUGGAAAAUUGAUGAAAGUGUACUUACCAUGACUGUCAAUGGUGAGGUGUACAUAAGUACAUUGAAAACUAUAGCGACUAUUCCAAUAAGCAUGGAUCUUGACUUAGUGCCAUGGAGGAAUGUCAGUGUGACGAAGAUAAGGAUUGCCAUGAAGAUUGCUUCAAUUACCAAAGCAAUAAUGAUCUUGCGCUGUUAAUUAUGAAUAACAGAAAGCGUGUUAGUUGAAGCCAAUGGAAUGAAUAUUACUAUAUCCUAUCCAAGGUCUUGAGUCAAGUAGGUUCAUAUAUAGUUUGGGUCAAGAGCAAUAGAUUCAGUUGAACUCGUCUUAGACACUCCUCGUUAAUUUACUACCUAAACUAAAAGAAAGAAAGAGUACAUACACGCUUUGCCCAAUCGGAGUAGAUGAAGAAAAUGGCGACAUAGAACAACUCUAGAGCGAGACCAAAGCCGUUGAUGGUGAUAACAAGAAGGCUGUCAGGAUGAACGAAGGGCAUACCAUAAAAUACCCACACUGCACAAUUUAGCACCGUUGCAACAUAUGGAUCUGCCUUGAAUUCCAUCACCGAUUUUGAUUUCACAAUUUUUACAAAUGUUGGCCUGCAAAAAACAGCAAUGCAAAGCUAGGAGUUGUAUGUAUAUAUGAGACUUGUUAGAAUGUUUCAAAUUGUUGCUGUAUAUUGUCUUGGGUAAUCCUAACCUAAUGACAGAUAGCUUUUGCCCUUAAUUAAGUUAUAUUCAAAGUUCAUUUUUAGCCUAAAUUCAUAGCCAAUUGUAUAGUAUGUGACUAUGUGUUAUUGGUUGAUAUUGGAUUUAUGUUAUAUUGCUAACACUCCAUAUGUCCAAUUCUAUGCAUGUCUAGAGAACGAGGAGAAUGGUAUUAGAAUGUGCCAAUAUUGGUUGAAAGAAUGAAAUUUUGUCUCCUUAUAUUAUCUCUCUGGCGUACUAAACUCACCUCAUGACUUACUUUUUUGAAUUUAGUUUGACGCAAAUGUCAUUUUUUUUACAAGAUCAUUAAGAGGGAAUAUAAUUAAGGUUACGUCUAUGUAAUGGUGAAGUAAAUUAAUUAAGGUAGAGAGAACUUACGCAGGGGACAGGAAAAGGAAGAAAGAUAUGACAUUACCUGCAUGAUUUAAUACAUGAUAAGAAGAGUUAAAUUAAGGAAUUAAUAUAAUAUUUCCUUUAAAACAUAGUUGGAGGAAACUAACUAUAAGAAGGUUAUAUAGGAACGAACCGAUAAUUCCUACAAUAGUCCUAAUUGUGUUUGGAUCGGCCAUCUCUCUGAUUUAUAUAUAAAAAUCAGAAAGUGAUUACCAAAAGUUAAUUAAGAAGAGGAAAUCAAAUACUAGGAGAUGGAAAAGCAAAGAAGUGAAUUUUUAUAAUCGUAUACAAAUAUGAUGUUGGAUAUAUUGAAAAAAAAAAGGUAGCAAUUUGCAUGAAUAGUAUGGAGGAGACUGUCUCUGAUCUUAUUAUUAUUAUUAUUUAGACAGCCCUCCAAAUAAACAACAACACAAUGGUUUUUCUUGUUUGAGCAAAUUUACUUUUUUAUAGGCUAAUCUUGAGAGGUAAUCCUAAAAGGCUGAUCCUUGCUUGACGGUUUCCCUCCCACACUGAUCGAUUUGGCUCUUUUUACGGCUAUUUUCAUCCUCAUGCAUGCACGUUAUCCACUAAUAUGCAAGAAUGUUGCCUAAUUUUAGUUUGUUGGUCAUAUUAUUUUUGUUUAUCUUGGUUGGGAUUGGAGCCGGGAUAUAUGGUAACAUUACGUGGAUAGGAAGUAGUUGUUUUCUUUUAUUAUGGAGGCGGAUCCAAAAUUUAAAAAUAUGUAAUAGUAAUAACGAUCUUAAGUUAAUAUGUAAUAGUAAUAAUUGAGUUUACAAUUAAAUAUAUAUAAAUCUUUUGUUAAUUACUUAAUACAUAUAUAAGGUUUGGACAAAACUAAUGAAUUCAUGUGAAUCCACAUAUUACAUAUUAAAUCUGCCUUCUGAGUCUCCACAAUAUAAUGAAAAAGUUUUUUAAAGGUAUCAUGUCACCUAAAAAAUUAUAGAUAAAUGCUUAUUGUAAAUGAGAUUAAUAAGUUGAAAUAGAAGACAUAACAAACAAGUAGAAAUUUGCUUAUGGUACAAAAUUGUAUUGUGGUACACUGUAUAUAGGUUAAAAUUGUUACUUUCUCAAACUUCUUCUAUUUUUUUCUCUCCAUCCGGCCGCGGAAAAUAGUGAUACAUAUUUGAUAUUGGAUUAAUCUAUUUAUUAGUUCUAAGUAUUGCAGCCUAUAUAUUCAGCUUUCUAUUCUACUGUGUCGGAGAUAAUGUUCAAAUUUUACAAACAUAUUACGCCCCAAAACUGAAUUCUAUUUUCUUAAACCAAAACGUCAAUAUCUAGCUUAAAAAAUAUUAAACAAUUCACUUUUUGGAAAUUUCUUUAAAUAAUAUAUUACUAAGAAUCAAAACAAAGUUGGAGACUUAUUGUUGAAACAACGAGUGUAUAAAUAUAACCAAAAGCAAUUACAAAUUUUUAAAGUCACAGUGUAAAAAAUUAUGUGCACAAUUAAUGAGCAACACAGAUUAUGAACUGGGUAUUUAAAAAAAUCUCCACCAAUAGAGCUUCUUCUUCUCUCCUCUCGGCGCAUGUUAGUUAACGUACGCCGAGCUUGGCUUCCAUGGCGAGAGGAAGGGGACGAGGCAAGGGUCGCCCUAGAAAACUACCGGUUACAACCAUAGAUCGAAUUAUUUCAACUAUAAACCACCCAGUAAGUGCAAAUAACCCUCUUGACACUGUUCCAUUGGCCGACACUAUUCCAUUGGUUGACACUGUUCCAUUGGCUCAAUCAGUUGAGGUGAUAGAUGCAGAUGAGGUUUCCUUGCUUCCUCAUCCCCCGAUGAUGCAAGGAAAUGGUGAAAUCGACCACAUGUAGAAGCUACCUCAAGCAUCUGUUACAGAACAAAACAAACCAGAGGAGGGGACCAAAACUGAAGUAGCUAAAGGAUGGGCAAAUCUCUUUCAGAAGAAUCGAUUUGCUUCUAAUGGCACGGCUUUGGAGUAUAUCCCACCGACUAUGAUUGAUGGCAAACCGGUAGGCCAUUUGAUUAAAGAAGAAGUGGAGGUGGAAGAACCGAAAUGGAAGUGUGCCCUAGUAGUAUUUGUUUUAGGCCUUUGUAUGGAUCAGAAUCUGAUGACCAUAUUUUAAUUACGAAAUUAGUUUUAUCCUUAACAAUGUACAAUUGACAAGUGGUACGACUACUCUGAAUGAAUGAUAAUUGCCUACCAUAUGGCCCAAUCGAUAUGGGUAACAACCCUCCCACGCUUUAGAGGCGCAACCUCGACAUGGCCACGGCCACUUAUCGUCAGUUUGGCCACGGUCACUUAUUGCCAGUUCACGAAGCUCACAACUAUAAAUAUCAGGAGAGAGAACCAUUGUAGGGGUGGUUUCUUCUUAGACACUGGUCAGAAGAGAGAAAUAGACAAUAGCACUACUAUGAUAGGAGAAUGGAAUGAACACCAUUGUAUGGCUCUAAACCUCUUCAAGGAGAGGCAGACCAAAUAUAUGUGGGAGAAUGGAAUGAACACCAUUGUAAGGCUCUAAACCUCUUCAAGGAGAGGCAGACCAAAUCACUACAAUUAACAAAAUCUCCUUAUAUAUUUCUCCCUAACUCUCCAUGUUUGUUCUUCAUGUCUUUUGUUUGGUCCAAUGAAUAUUACGAUUAGCUAUGAUUUACCCUCAUUUAUUUUUUGAUUGUCUUAUGCUUAUAAAGUACCUUGAUAACUUUUGAGCCAAACAAUUUGGCGCCCUCUGUGGGGAUUUCAUAGCAAGAUCGCAUAGUUCCUCCCCGGACGGGAGCGAAAAAACGCCCGAGAAAGAAAACAAUCCAGUUCAAACGAGUCUAAAGCAGUGCAUCGAGCAAAAGAAUUCGAAGGCCUCAACGAACACCUGAAUCCUUUGUCUCUUUGGCUUCGAAUACUGUGCAAAGAAGAAGAAGCCCCUCCAAGGGAAGGAUCUAUGUGAAACAUCUCCCACAUCCCUGAUGCGGGAUCCAGCUGGAAACCGGAGCGGAAAUAUCUCAUAAACAAAAAUAUCUCAAAUCGGGGAGCCAUCUCAGGACGACCUACGUACCCUGAUUAGGAAGACAACGUAUAAGCUAUACAAGAUCUCAAAUUAAAACCGAGACUCGGCACCAAAUGCCCAUGGCAUUGGGCCCAUCAAAUUCAGUAAGUUCAAAUUCAGUUACACUUGGACUCAGGCGAAGCUCCUUCGAUAUUAAACUCAACGGGUUUGACCUCGCUCGAACUAUAAGGCCAAGGGCCUUCACCAGUUAAUUCAACAAGUUCAACUCCAGUAGAACUGGGACUCAGUCGAAGUGCCUUCGCCAGUUAAUUCAACGAGUUCGGCCUCGCUCGAACUAUAAGGCCAAGUUGCAUUCGCCAGUUAAUUCAACUAGUUCGACCUCGCUCGAACUAUAAGGCCAAGUUGCCUUCUCCAUCAAAUUCAACAAGUUCAACUUCAGUUGAACUGGGACUCAAGCCAAGCGCCUUCUCCAUUUACUUCAAUGGGUUCAACCUCGCUCGAACUACAAGGCUAAGUACCUUCGCCAUUUAAUUCAAUGAGUCCGACCUCGCUCAAACUACAAGGCCAAAGGCCUUUGCCAGUUAAUUCAACAAGUUCAACUUCAGUUGACCUGGGACUCAGGCUAAGUUGCCUUCACCAGUUAAUUCGACGAGUUCGACCUUUCUCGAACUAUAAGGCCAAGUCGCCUUCGCCAUCAAAUUUAACAAGUUCAACUUCAGUUGAAAUGGGACUCAGGCCAAGUUGCGUUCGCCAGUUAAUUCAACGAUUUCGACCUCGCUCAAACUAUAAGGCCAAGUCGCCUUAGCCAUCAAAUUUAACAAGUUCAACUUCAUUUGAACUGGGACUCAGUCCAAGUUGCCUUCGCCAGUUAAUUCAACGAGUUCGACCUCGCUUGAACUAUAAGGCCAAGUCGCCUUCGCCAUCAAAUUCAACAAGUUCAACUUCACUUGAACUGGGACUCAGGCCAAGUUCCUUUGCCAUUUAAUUUAACGGGUUCGACCUUGCUCGAACUACAAGGCUAAGCGCCUUUACCAUUUAAUUUAACGCGCCCGACCUCGCUCGAACUACAUGGACAAGGGCCUUCCCUAGUUAAUGCAACAAGUUUCAACUUUAGUUGAACUGGGACUCAGGCCAAGUUGCCUUUACCAAUUAAUUCAACAAGUUCGACCUCGCUCGAACUAUAAGGCCAAGUCGCCGUCGCCAUUAAAUUUAACAAGUUCAACUUCAGUAGUACUAGGACUCAUGCUAAGACGCCUUCCCCAGUUAAUUCAACGAGAGCAAUUUUGCUGUGAAGUGCCUGCUGCAGCUGUUUUCCUCGCCUCGCCAGCUCCUCACCCAGAGCCCGAUUUUUGGGAUCAUUCCUCAAAUGUCUCUUGACAUUGGUCACGGUAGCGAUGAUACUUCCCCGUCGUCUGCAGAAAGAUCUUCGAGCAAAUGUUGGCUCGACGGAUGCUCUCCACCUACAGAAAAUAAGUCUACAAAACAAAGGCAACAAUUAAAAUAAAGAAUGAGCUAAGGCAGAGGAGAAACAAACCAAAGUCGUAUUACAUACCCUACGGCCCAUCACGGCCAGUUCAUCCCGGUAUCUGUGACGUACCUCAACGAUGCGUUCUCGAUCUCCGAGCACAGUAGUUCAAACUGCGUCAACAAGCUAUUCUCUUGUAGCAGUAAAUUCAACUCCGCGGGUACCUCAAUGAAGCAAACCUGCCCUUCCGAGUACACCGUCGAAUUGGUAAAACCUUCUUGAAACAUACAGAUGUCGUCGGGAUCCAGGUCGAAUUCGGACUCAUACCCUCCCUCGACCAUAUUCCUUACCCCUUUCGCCACUAACGAGGUAGAACAACCCGCCAUGGCCAUCGAAGGGCCACUUAAAUCAACAACAACAGCCGAUGAGGAACGACCUUCCACCUUAACAGCUGAAACAUCCAACUGAGCCACCGAAGUGACAACACCAUCGUGGCUUGAGUUAGCCGGGGCAACCCCCACUGCUUGCCCACCCUUAAUGACAGGCACCACAACCACACCUCUCUUUGGAUUCGAUGGGGGGAAUCCAAACUAAUUAUCGUAGGAGGAGCUGGCGCAAACGCCACCCUCCAUCUCUACAAUGGACUUUCUUUCUCCUCAUUCGAGGGUGACUCCACUCGAGGGAGAACAUCCACCAGCGGCCCCUCAUCUCGAAGAAUGGCUCGUGUCGGAGUAGGGGCCACUAAAGACUUAACCGAUGUUGCCCUCGGUAAGGGGCGUGACACCGGCGUUGCAGCAAGGCGAGCAAUAGCAGUUGGCCGACUGAAGGCCAACUGCAGAGCCUUGACGCGACGUGCCCUCCCUUGCCAUAACAAGUAAACAAAGUCAACAGAUGGAAUCAAAACAAAAUGAAAGAGAAGAAGAAGCCAAUAUUCUACCUGUCAUGGACCACCGACCAUAUCUCUCCCAAAAAUAUGCACAUGUGCGAAUUCCCACAGUAUGGGGGAGAAUGGCCUCAACCCACUCACAUAUCCCAGCCAACAAAGGCGACGACAACUUUUCAGCUACAAAAACAGUGACAUGAGUCAACGCUUAUGAGCAUUAGAAGAAAAGAGAGUUAAAAGGGAGUAUUUCUCGGUCGAGAACUUACGUGCAAAACUCCAAACCUCGAGGAACUCAGUCGGGUCCACCACUUGAUGCUCAGUUUUGAUAUAAAAAAAUUGUUCAGAGGGGCGACGAUCGAUCUCUCAUCCAGUUUUAUGGCAAAGCCCCUCGACACGCGAGGUGCGCGUGGAUCAUGGUGCCUCUGAUUUUCUGGGAAGCGUAGAGGCUAAGAACAUGCUGCAGCGUGACCUCCCUACCAGCCAGCUCCUCGUACUUGAUAAAAAAUGAAAGAAAUUUGUAGCGAGAAGGAAAGAGCUGGUCCGGGCACACCCCAUAGUAACGACAGAAGUCGACCACCAGCAUUGGAAGUGAGAGCGUGAAUCCCACCUUGAAGGGGUAGACGUAAAACAUGCAAUACCCCUUACGGUCGACCUGGACCCUGUUUCCCCCUCCCUGUUAGCAGGGGCAAUGUCGACAUAGCUUGGAAGACCCCAUUGUUCUCGCAUUUGAGAUAUCCGAAUUUCCCCCAUUAAUUGAGCCCCAUCCACCUGCUCCACUCCACCAUCAGUAGUGAAGUCCACCACCGGGCCCCCGGGCAGAAAUACAAUCUCAUCAACUGAUGGAAUUUCAUCGCUUUCCACCAAUUCUAAAUUUUCGGUCACCAGAACUGGGUCUUCAACCAUCGGAAGGCCCACCGGAAGAUCAUUACGAGAAAUAUUUCCUGUCAUUGAUAAUUUCACUAAUGAAGGAAAGAUAGGAUUUUUAUAGAAAUGGCGAAGGUUUCAACAAUCUAAGAACAGAGUUGAAGAUAGAAUAACAUAUAGAAAUGGUUUUCCAGAAUCUUUCAAUUGAUCAACGAAAGUGUGAGAAGUAAAUGCCCAACUCCCUCUAUUUAUAAAGAACAAAAUUGGCUUUUACGAUUCAGUUCCACAGGAAUGUGCGUCAUUAUGACAGACUCCACAAUGCAACGUUAUAGUUACCGACCGGCGCCUCCACUGAAAUGGCCGUAACGACAGUCGCAUGACGAGAUAGUGCUCUAUGCGGUUUUAAAAUCUUAAAUACCGCCAAGUGCAUAGGAAGCACAUCUUCGCUCUCAUUGUCCAUGCAACGUACAGUCCGUCCACCAAGGCUGACCGGUUGCGUCCCUGGCAAACGGAGGGACUAACUGUAUGGGUCAGAAUCUGAUCUUAUGUUAAUUACGAAAUUAGCUCUAUAAUUAACACUAUAUAAUUGGUAAGUGGUACGACCACUCUGAAUAAAUGACAAUUAACUACCAUAUGGCCCAAUCGACAUGGGUAACAACCCUCCCACGCUUAAGAGGCGCAACAUCGACAUGGCCACAGCCACUUAUCGCAGUUUGGACACGACAACUUAUUGCCAGCUCACAGCGAUAAAUAUCAGUAGAGGGAACCAUUGUAGGGGGUUUCUUCUUAGACACUGGCCAGAAGAGAGAAAUAGACAAUAACACUGAUAUGAUGGGAGAAUGGAACAAGGCUCUGAACCUCUUUAAGGAGUGACAUACCAAAUUACUACAACCAAUAAAAUCUCCUUAUAUAUUUCUCCCUACUCUCAAUUUUUGUUCUUCAUGUCUUUCGCUUGGUCCAAUAAUUUAUUAUGAUUAGCUAUGAUUUACUCUAAUUUAUUUUUUGAUUGUUUUAUACUUGUAAAAUUCCUUGAUAACUUUUGAGCCAAACAGACUUUGUUAGGGAAUAUUUUACCCCUCAAUUUAUCAAACACUUGUGACAAUUCUGAUUUUCAGGCAAUACUAUUAGACAAAGUGAAUAUUUCUUUCUUGGAGUAUUUUGGUAUGAGAUUAUUGGGGGGAUACAAAAAUAUAAAAUAAAACAUAUUGCAUAGAAAACUUAGUUUUUUGAUAAAAAUAAAUAUAUAGUUAUAUGACCACUUAUAGAUUUAACCUACAUAUUUCAUAAUUGAGUUCUUUGGGAUGAUUUACCUAACAAAAUCAGAUAGUAUUAUUUUGCCAACUUAUCAAUGUCCUUUACUUUUUAGCAGUUUUGGUAAACUAUUAAUAAGUUAUCCAUGUUAAAAUACUCAUAAUUGUUAACUUAUUAUUGCAUAGUAAGUUGAAACUGACUUAAGAGGAUUAGUUAGUUUAGGAGGUUAGUUGAUUAGUAAAUAAUUAUCUUCAGCUCAUUUAGUUUUUGUAUAUAAGCUAGGAGGUAGUAUACGUGAGAGUUCAUUAAAGAGACGGGUGUAGGGGAUUGAGGGUGGUAAGUAUCACAUGGGCAUUUUCUGUCCGCCGAUAACCUGCCCAUUGUGCGGCAGUCAAGUCCCUACUUGGCUUAGCAUUCACCCGAUUUCUUUCGCUUUUAAGGUUUAGAACUUAGAAUAAUUUCAAGGUAAUAUAAAAUAAGUAAGGCACAAGCAGAAUUACGGAAACUCUUUCCCAACCUUUUAUAAUAAUCAAUUACAAAGGAAAUCUCGAGUUUGGCAAGACGAUGGCAGACAGCAACUCACAAAAUUACCGACUCUUGCACAAUCUACCUUAUAUAAAAGCCCCUACCUAUGGCAUUUCAUGAUGCCCACUAAUUUUGGCAAGGCAAUGGCACAUAAUUUGCCAUGCUCAAGCUUUGACAUAGACAACCUUAUGCCUACAUCUUGCCUAUUUUCCCUCCUUAGGUACUUAGACCUUAUUAGGGGAUGCUAACACACAUAUUUAUAAUGUAGUAAGCCCUUUUCAGUUUUCCCAUUUCAGUUGACACCCGCAACUGAUAGACCAUAAUCACCCAUGAUAAAAAUACGUGCAUGUCAUGAUCUAACAUGCUUUAAAACGUGCAUACACUUAGCCCCAUUAUUAAUCACUCUUUGGACAAGGUAGUUGUAACCGCCAACUGCACAACAUGCGCCCAGCCUUGCCCAUUGACACUGCUCUGCAUCAAUGCCAUAGCCACAUCUUGUCGCCCAUGACUUAGUCGUAUACACGCCCGCUGCCAUAGCCGCUUGUUCAUGUCAAGUCGCCCUUAAUUGAUUAAGUCUGCUCUUUUUCCAAUGCCAUCGCUGAUAGUAGCAUUAAAUCACCAAUCCAUGAUGACAUUUCCCUUGCUAAGUAGUUUUCUCACAAAUUUAUUAUGUGUCAGCUAUCUUACCUAAGCUAAGUCAACACCGUAUUGCCCAUGCCACUACCUUGGCACUAGCCGCCUUGUCUUAGCACCUAGGUAUUUCCCGCAUUGUUUUGUCAAGCUUCCGUACAGUGUACCUUAUUCCUUCAAGACCUUGGCCUUUGCUUGCAGACAACCCACUCAUGCUUUAGUGUAGUCCAUCACACCUUAGCCUUAUAACAUUAAUGUAGUCCGUCACACUCCUUAGCCUUGCAACAGUUUGUUGCCAUUUACAGUGCAUGUUAAUUGCCCCAAACAUAGGCCAACGGCAAGGCCAUCAUGCCAAAUCCUUGCCACAACCGCACUAUUUUCCUAUCAGCUUUGUCAAGGGUCUAACAAUCCACCCAAACCAGUUAAAUUCGAUGCCCUGAUCAAAUAAUCCCAAUACUUUCUCAUAAUUUGUAAAGACAUCACAAGUUCAUCACCCUUUGGAGAGUUAUGUUGUCCUUGCCCUUAAGCGCAAUAUUUUUUCUCAUUUGCCUUUAUCGUUUGUCAUUCUCACAGAAAAUCCAGCACGCAACUGACUUGAUUUGAAAGAACCCUCGACUGAUUUGGCAUACGUCAACUCAAAAUUCUACAUCACUACCUUUCAUGCCUUUUCUGAAUUUUCUAAGCACGGACAGUCCCUUCCACGAACCAGCACAGUGACACCUUGUCUUGCUGUUUUAUCAUGAACCUGCUCUGCUCUGAUACUAGUUGUCAUAGGGGCAUUUUUUGACUAUCAAAAAUCUACUCGUUGUGCGGCAGUCAAGUCCCUACUUGGCUCAGCCUUCACCUGAUUUAUUUUGCUUUCGGGGUUUAGCACUUAUAAUUAUUUCAGGGCAAUGUAAAAUAAGUAAGGCCCACGCAGAAUUAUAGUAACUCUUUUUCAAUAUUUAAUAGUAAAUGAAUUACAAAGGAAAAUUUCGAGUUUGGCAAGGCACUGCCAGCCUCGGCAGACACCAACUCAUAAAAUUGCCGACUCUUGCACAAUCUGCCUUAUAAAAGCCCCUCUAUAAGAUAUUUCGUGUUGUCUACUGAUUUUGGUAAGGCAAUGACACAUGAUUUUCCUUUCUAAAGCCUUGACGUAGAUAACCCUGUGCUUACAUCUUGCCUAUUUUCCCUCCCAAGGUACUUAGACCUUUUUAGGGGCUGCUAACACAGAUAUUUAUAGUGUAGUCAGCCCUUUUUCAGUUUUCCU